CCUGAAGGAGUGAUAAAAAGUGAUGCGGGGCAGCAAAACGGGCCUGGAAACCAGAGUGCGACACAACCACUGCCCAGAGCUUCUAGAUAUCGACGGGGACUCGUGCCAUCACAUUCAUAAUGCGUCAAAGAGAUUUUCCAGUCCUUUCAACGGUCAUCUAGAACAGCUCUUCAGUGACCUUCAUGUUGAUCCCAAGUGGGCUUCUGAUCAGUCUCUUGCCCAAGGACAUUUUGACAUGAGGGAAUAAGGAGACAGGAUUUGAACCGCUGACACUUUGGUAAUUUGAUGGCCAUUAGAUUGCCUUAUUAUUGUCCUCUGAUUCAUGAAUAUCAUAUGGGACUGAAUCAUAACUUGAGACAUGUGUUCCGUUUGUCAGCGGGCUUACCUCCAAGAGAUCUGUGAAUACAUGAGCAUUCCUGGAUCAACUCCAUAGAGAUUCGGUGAGCAUCGUUGGCUGUCAUGUUAUGAUGUUGGACUCAGCACUCAGACCAUGCUUCCUAAUCACAAGGUCCUGUACUUUGGGUUCAUGGAUAAAGAAGACAAGGCUCUCUACAAAGAACCUUGGGAACAACUUUAUGCUGCUCACCAUGGGAGUGAAAAGGCCCAGAGUUGCAUUCAGUCUUUUCACAAGGACAUCAGCGGGAAAGGAAUGACACAGCAGGGCAGAGACCGAAAGCAGCGGUUGGUCAAGAAACUGUGGCAUGAAGACACCAAAACAGAGCUCCAUCUCAGUGUCUACUAGGGCUGUCACCUUUUAUUCGAAGUUCGAAUAUUCGUUCGAAGGCGGGGUGAAAAGUUCGAAUUCGAAGUGUAAUUCUCCAUUCGAACUGUGUGUAUUGCCGUCUCAUAAGAACUUCUGACCAUUUUAGGUAGUCUGCUUUCGAUCCAGCAGAGGGCGCACUAACAUUUUACCUGUUGCCGACCCUCUUGGCCUGGCUAUCUGUAUCGAAUGUUGAAUCAACAUUCGAUACAUAGGCCAAGAGGGCUUUGAAACAAAACGUAACUGAAGAGAACGCGAACCGAGAUACGGCUAUUAAAAAACUCCUAUUAAAAAUGGAGAAUUGCGAGGAGUACAAUGCUGAGCGGACUAUAACGACACCAUCACAUUUAAAAAGCAGCGUAUGGAAGCAUUUUGGCUUUUAUACCGUGGGUGGAAAAGUCACAAACAAAAACAAGGCUGUUUGUCGUCUUUGUAAAAGAGCUGUCGUACUUAUCGACAACAUCAACAUUUGCGCACUCAUCUGCUAGCUUACCACCGAAAUGUAGCAGCAGAGGAACAACUGCCGAGCGGAGCAGCACAGAGUGUACAGCCGCGCGUGACAGCAUUAUAUUUGGCUCACUCAGCAGGCCCCUUACCUGACGCCCGUAACAAGGCCAUCACCGGUAAAAUCGUUUAUAUAGGCUGUGUGUGCCAUGGACGACAUGCGCUCCGCAUAUCGCGCUCCGCAUAUCGCGCUCCGAUCAGUUAUUGAUAAUGUGUAAAAGACAGCCGCACUUGUGUGUCGGAGCUUCCUCUUGUUGUGUUUACAAAUGUGUUAUCAAAGAUGUGUUUUCAUCCUGUGCUAUUAUGAAUUCAGUAGGUAUACAUGAUUAAAAAGAGAAAUAAAAAGAGCAACAUAAAAACGGGGGGGGGGGGGAGUCGAAUAUAUUCAAAUGUAUUCAAAUUAAUUAUGUCCUGGCUAUUCUGAAAGAAUACGUCAUGGCAUUCCAGGUAUAUUGUAAUACUGUUUCACAACUAUGUUGUAUCGUAAAGCUUGGAUAGUUUUAUUGUAUGUUACUAGUGUAACUGGCUGUGUCUUACUCUGCUUGUAUGGUGGAAAUUCAUAUCCAUCUCUCACUUGCACAAUAUUACUACUUCCUCAGAGUCGUGACACCCUUGUGCACAAGUUGCAUGACAAGCAGCUGCAGGUUUUCACCAACUUCCUUGCAUGCUUUGUGAAGCCAGAAAACCUGCCACCAAUCCCCAGGAUCCUAGCAGGUCUCGAACUCAAGGGAGACAAACUGCUGCCUGCAAGAGACCUGUAUGUGUGUCGAGUGGCAGAUAGAUUCAGACGGGAGCAUCCUCAACACCAUCUGCUGAAGCCCUUCCUGGACCAAGGCAUACAUCACAUGUGGGGAAUACCUGCAGAGCAAGCUGCCACAGGAGAGCGUGACCCUGCAGUGCCCGUCUGCUGUUGACCCUAUUGCAAGGGGGCACUCCAAGACUGGACGUCUGCUGAGACGACUUGCGGAGAUGUUUACCCAGUUUCUCCCUGCUGAUGGGGAUGUUCAGCAAGAGGUUCUCCAGUAUGGCGUAGACCAGAGCCUGCAAACUUUCAGAGAAGGAGAUGAUGCUGUCAGCUGGUGGGCAGCUGUCUUUGAAACGGGAAGGUACCCAGGGCUCAGCAUGGCAGUAAAGGCAGUAUUGUCGGUGUUCCAUGGGCCAACGGUGGAGUCCUCAUUCAGUCUUAUGUCUGAAAUCAUAGACUCGAAAAGUGGCAGCAUGAACAUUUCCACUCUGAGUGCCAUGCAAACUGUCGAACACACCUUGCUGACCCGGAAGCAGACUGCAGUGGAGAUGUUCAAAAGAGAAGACCUUAAGUUAAUAAAGUAUGCUGAGUUUUGUUAAGUCACGCUCAGACUAGUGUCAUUUGCAUAAUAUAAUCCAAAAAAAAUCCCCCCGUGACACUGCCACCUUUUUUCCUCUGAGGAGUUUGCAGGUCUGCAGAAGGGCCCCCGUGUACACCCGGAAAUUGUUGACAUAGCCUGUCUUGCUCUCCGCCAUCACCCACACCUUUACUCCCCACUUCACCGGCUUCAUGGGGAGGUACUGCCGGAAGGCCAGGCAUCCCUUGAACUUGACCAUGGACUCAUCCACGGUCACAAAGCCAUUGACCUCAUAGAGAUCCUGGAAUCUGACGAGGAGGUCCAUGAAUCCCUUAAGCUUCAAGGGAUCCCGCAUUUCCAUUACCUUGUACACGUCCCGCAAAUUGAGACGUUGUCCCGCAUUGUUAUUAGGGCUGGCCCGAAUUAUUCGAAUAUUCAAAUACUCGUUGGGAAAAUUAGUAUUCAAAGCUUAAAUGAGUAUUCGGGAGCUUCGUUGUUUCACGUAGGGCCUACGUGACGUUACCAGAGCGAGGGAGGCAAACUAUAAGCGACACUAAGCAGAGAAGCGAGAGAGGUGGAGGAAGAAUAGAUAUCUUGUUUCCCUUUACUUUAUAACAACAUUAGCGGGAUCUCGGGAGGAAAAUACAUGCUUAGUGAAAUGCUAACCUAAGCUUAGUUGUUUGUUUACGUUCGCCGUACAGCGCCGCGCAAAUCAACUGUGACUGGCUUGCUGCAGAGUGUGAGCGUCUUGCAAAUACCCGGUCAAUAUAAUGGAUAUAAUAUGGACACAUAAGACAAUCAAUAUUCGUUAUUUGCUAUGGAAUUAUUGUACAAAUUCCCUGAAAAGAUGCACGUUCCAGAAUGAAUUGAAAAGCUCCCCCUAAGGGCUGAGAUGGCAGAGGACAGCUGAUUUUGUACGGAACAACAGCUGUUCGCUUCCACGGGGAAAAACUAAGUAAAUCCAACUUACUUAGGCCUACUAAUUGAUGUUCAAAAGCUAUUAAAUCUUCAACAAAAUAUGCAGAUGCUGUCAAAAUUGGUUCCAGGGAGUAUAUAGUGAUUAUUAAUGUUGUUUUUGAUGGUGUGUUUUUCUGGAAUGAGUAUUCGAAUUUUCGCUCGGAAAAACCAACGAGUAAUCGAAGCCAAAAA
ensembl:lncRNA